AGAACGAACGCUGGCGGCAUGCCUAACACAUGCAAGUCGAACGAGACCUUCGGGUCUAGUGGCGCACGGGUGCGUAACGCGUGGGAAUCUGCCCUUGGGUUCGGGAUAACAGUUGGAAACGACUGCUAAUACCGGAUGAUGACUUCGGUCCAAAGAUUUAUCGCCCAGGGAUGAGCCCGCGUAGGAUUAGCUAGUUGGUGAGGUAAAGCUCACCAAGGCGACGAUCCUUAGCUGGUCUGAGAGGACGAUCAGCCACACUGGGACUGAGACACGGCCCAGACUCCUACGGGAGGCAG
rnacentral:rRNA from 1 species